rnacentral:rRNA from 1 species
GACGAACGCUGGCGGCGUGCUUAACACAUGCAAGUCGAGCGAGGCCCAUCCUUCGGGGUGGUGCCCUAGCGGCGAACGGGUGAGUAACACGUGGGCAACCUGCCCUCAGCUCUGGGAUAACUCCAAGAAAUUGGUGCUAAUACCGGAUGUGACCGCUGACCGCAUGGUCUGGUGGUGGAAAGAUUCAUCGGCUGAGGAUGGGCCCGCGGCCUAUCAGCUUGUUGGUGGGGUAAUGGCCCACCAAGGCGACGACGGGUAGCCGGCCUGAGAGGGUGGCCGGCCACACUGGGACUGAGACACGGCCCAGACUCCUACGGGAGGCAGCAGUGGGGAAUAUUGCGCAAUGGGCGAAAGCCUGACGCAGCGACGCCGCGUGAGGGAUGACGGCCUUCGGGUUGUAAACCUCUUUCAGUAGGGACGAAGCGAAAGUGACGGUACCUACAGAAGAAGCACCGGCCAACUACGUG